CUUAAAUAUUAUAUUUUAAAGCUACAUUUAUAGGCUAAAGCCCAUUGACAUGUGCUGGUGCUGUCACAUCAUUGUUUCCCUUAGCGACGGUAACUAAGGCUGUCGCUGUGGUAGUGAUUCAGUUCAGCUGGGCAGAGCCGAUGGAACAAGGUCGCCCUUCCGUACCAGUCUGUUCUCUGGGGUUGGUUUCAUGGCCACAGAAUUAACCUUCCACCUUGGCCAGCUGCCUCACAAAUGUAUGCUGUUGAUUAAAGAGAAUAAGAGGGAACUGUGGAUAAAAAGGUACAAACCACUUGACCAGCCACCCAAGACUAUGGAAGAAGAAUCCAUUCAGGGGCUGGCUAAUCACUGGCAGCCUCACCUUCUCGUGGGCCACAGGAAGCUUCCUCCCAGGGGAGCAACAGCACUUGGGUCUUGUCAGUGAUUGUCAUCCACACCUUCUCCUUUAUCUCUCAUUUUGUGCAGCUUCAGUGACGAUUUCUGCAAUCUCAUAAUUUGAAAAAUAAAUGGAAGGAGUGGAUGAUAAAUUUUCGUUUUCAUUUUCUUAAAAAAUCACACCCA
rnacentral:lncRNA from 1 species